UACAGAGGUCCCAAGCGUUGUUCGGAUUCACUGGGCGUAAAGGGUGCGUAGGCGGUCGGGUAAGUCUGGCGUGAAAUCUCCAAGCCUAACUUGGAAACUGCGUUGGAUACUAUCCGGCUCGAGGAAUGGAGGGGAGACUGGAAUACUUGGUGUAGCAGUGAAAUGCGUAGAUAUCAAGUGGAACACCAGUGGCGAAGGCGAGUCUCUGGACAUUUCCUGACGCUGAGGCAUGAAAGCCAGGGGAGCAAACGGG
rnacentral:rRNA from 1 species